AGCGCAGUCUCGUUUGAACCCCUGUGUGAUAUUACGGGAUUUGACCAUUUCCAGGGACAGCCUGCCAUUGCACAACACAAACACAGCAUCACUUCACACAGAAAAAUGGUGUACUGUUUUGUUUUUGGCUGCAAUCACCGAAGCAGUCACGAAAACCGUGCUCUUCUCUCUCGUUGUACAACC